rnacentral:rRNA from 1 species
UACAGAGGGUGCGAGCGUUGUCCGGAAUCACUGGGCGUAAAGGGCGCGUAGGUGGCUUGUUAAGCGUGUGGUGAAAGCCUGGGGCUCAACCCCAGGUCUGCCGUGCGAACUGGCAAGCUUGAGCGUAGUAGAGGCAGGUGGAAUUUCGGGUGUAGCGGUGGAAUGCGUAGAUAUCCGAAAGAACACCGGUGGCGAAGGCGGCCUGCUGGGCUACUGCUGACACUGAGGCGCGAAAGCUAGGGGAGCAAACGGG